rnacentral:snRNA from 1 species
AUGCGUCCUGGUCGGAUGCG